GACAGAGGGUGCAAACGUUGUUCGGAAUUACUGGGCGUAAAGCGCGUGUAGGCUGCUCAGAAAGUCGGAUGUGAAAGCCCUGGGCUUAACCUAGGAAGUGCAUUCGAAACUUCUGAGCUUGAGUUCUGGAGAGGAAGGCGGAAUUCUCGGUGUAGAGGUGAAAUUCGUAGAUAUCGAGAGGAACACCGGUGGCGAAGGCGGCCUUCUGGACCGACACUGACGCUGAGGCGCGAAAGCCAGGGGAGCAAACGGG
rnacentral:rRNA from 1 species